UGGUGCCUCUUCAAUGGGUUUCAGAUAUGAUCUAAUCAAAUUCGAUUCUAUGGGUUCACUAGAUUGUGUCAGUUCUUCUACUUGUCGAACUUCACAAGUUCUAUAUUAAAAGUAUCAGUACCUUCACCAUGGUAUUCCUUUUUUGAAAAGAAUGCCAAACAACUCUUGUUCUUUAGCAUGAUAGAAGUUAUAUCACCUAAAUUCUUUGGGAUUAUCCU
rnacentral:lncRNA from 1 species